rnacentral:rRNA from 1 species
AUUGAACGCUGGCGGCAUGCCUUACACAUGCAAGUCGAACGGUAACGGGUCCUUCGGGAUGCCGACGAGUGGCGAACGGGUGAGUAAUAUAUCGGAACGUGCCCAGUAGUGGGGGAUAACUGCUCGAAAGAGCAGCUAAUACCGCAUACGACCUGAGGGUGAAAGGGGGGGAUCGCAAGACCUCUCGCUAUUGGAGCGGCCGAUAUCAGAUUAGCUAGUUGGUGGGGUAAAGGCCUACCAAGGCAACGAUCUGUAGUUGGUCUGAGAGGACGACCAGCCACACUGGGACUGAGACACGGCCCAGACUCCUACGGGAGGCAGCAGUGGGGAAUUUUGGACAAUGGGCGCAAGCCUGAUCCAGCAAUGUCGCGUGCAGGAAGAAGGCCUUCGGGUUGUAAACUGCUUUUGUCAGGGAAGAAAUCUUCUGGGCUAAUACCCCGGGAGGAUGACGGUACCUGAAGAAUAAGCACCGGCUAACUACGUGCCAGCAGCCGCGGUAAUACGUAGGGUGCGAGCGUUAAUCGGAAUUACUGGGCGUAAAGCGUGCGCAGGCGGCUUUGCAAGACAGAUGUGAAAUCCCCGGGCUCAACCUGGGAACUGCAUUUGUGACUGCAAGGCUAGAGUACGGCAGAGGGGGAUGGAAUUCCGCGUGUAGCAGUGAAAUGCGUAGAUAUGCGGAGGAACACCAAUGGCGAAGGCAAUCCCCUGGGCCUGUACUGACGCUCAUGCACGAAAGCGUGGGGAGCAAACAGGAUUAGAUACCCUGGUAGUCCACGCCCUAAACGAUGUCAACUGGUUGUUGGACGGCUUGCUGUUCAGUAACGAAGCUAACGCGUGAAGUUGACCGCCUGGGGAGUACGGCCGCAAGGUUGAGACUCAAAGGAAUUGACGGGGACCCGCACAAGCGGUGGAUGAUGUGGUUUAAUUCGAUGCAACGCGAAAAACCUUACCUACCCUUGACAUGUCAAGAAUUCUGCAGAGAUGUGGAAGUGCUCGAAAGAGAACUUGAACACAGGUGCUGCAUGGCCGUCGUCAGCUCGUGUCGUGAGAUGUUGGGUUAAGUCCCGCAACGAGCGCAACCCUUGUCAUUAGUUGCUACGCAAGAGCACUCUAAUGAGACUGCCGGUGACAAACCGGAGGAAGGUGGGGAUGACGUCAGGUCCUCAUGGCCCUUAUGGGUAGGGCUACACACGUCAUACAAUGGCCGGUACAGAGGGCUGCCAACCCGCGAGGGGGAGCCAAUCCCAGAAAACCGGUCGUAGUCCGGAUCGUAGUCUGCAACUCGACUGCGUGAAGUCGGAAUCGCUAGUAAUCGCGGAUCAGCUUGCCGCGGUGAAUACGUUCCCGGGUCU